AACGAACGCUGGCGGCAUGCCUAACACAUGCAAGUCGAACGAGACCUUCGGGUCUAGUGGCGCACGGGUUCGUAACGCGUGGGAACCUGCCCUUAGGUUCGGAAUAACUCCCCGAAAGGGGUGCUAAUACCGGAUAAUGUCUUCGGACCAAAGAUUUAUCGCCUUUGGAUGGGCCCGCGUUGGAUUAGCUAGUUGGUAGGGUAAAAGCCUACCAAGGCGACGAUCCAUAGCUGGUCUGAGAGGAUGAUCAGCCACACUGGGACUGAGACACGGCCCAGACUCCUACGGGAGGAAGCAGUGGGGAAUAUUGGACAAUGGGAGAAAGCCUGAUACAGCAAUGCCGCGUGAGUGAUGAAGGACUUAGGGUUGUAAAGCUCUUUUACCCGGGAUGAUAAUGACAGUACCGGGAGAAUAAGCUCCGGCUAACUCCGUG
rnacentral:rRNA from 1 species